rnacentral:Y_RNA from 1 species
GGCUGGUCUGAAGGUAGUGAGUUAUUUCAAUUGAUUGUUCACAGUCAGUCACAGACCAAAUUCCCUGGUCUACUCUUUCCUUUUUUUUUCCCCCUUCUAACUGCUGCACUUGAUGAAUAGUCUUAA